rnacentral:ncRNA from 1 species
AAGAACACAGUGAACGGAAAGAGUAGGCGCUGUCAUCGCCGUCAGAGAGGGGCCGCCACCGGCUGCAAGCGGUCCCGGAGGAGCAGUGCUGAAGUGCAUCCGGGAGUGGUGAGGCUGAAGUUUUCGUAGUAAGCUUCAACGGUGGCGCCGUUAAAGCCCUGAGUACCCUGCCGGGGUGCUUACCGAGAGGAGCACAAGAUUUGUGCUCAAACAGAGUGGGACCGCGAAACCUUUCGUCUCUGUA